GCCUGGGUGGCUCAGUCGGUUGAGCGUCCGACUUCGGCUCAGGUCAUGAUCUCACGGUUCGUGGGUUCGAGCCCCGCAUCGGGCU
rnacentral:tRNA from 1 species